rnacentral:rRNA from 1 species
UACGGAGGGUGCGAGCGUUGUCCGGAAUCAUUGGGCGUAAAGGGCGCGUAGGUGGCCCCUCAAGCGUGCGGUGAAAGUCAGGGGCUCAACCCCUGAUCGGCCGUGCGAACUGGGGAGCUUGAGCACUGUAGAGGCAGGCGGAAUUCCGGGUGUAGCGGUGGAAUGCGUAGAGAUCCGGAGGAACACCAAAGGCGAAGGCAGUGUCCUGGGGAGUACCUGACGCUCAGGUGCGAAAGCCAGGGGAGCGAACGGG